CGGGGUGUAGCUCAGCCUGGUAGAGCACUGCCUUCGGGAGGCAGGGGUCGCUGGUUCGAAUCCAGUCACCCCGACCA
rnacentral:tRNA from 1 species